rnacentral:misc_RNA from 1 species
UAGAAACUGGAUCCUGGUAG